CGAAUUAGGACACAUCACUAAAAGAGAGGACAGUAUAGAGAAAAAAGAGCACGGGGCAAAGCCUGGGCCUCAAAGACAGUGUUUUAAAGAGUCACGAUAGAGACAAUUAGAGCAACAAGUGGAUGUACUCAGCAGAAUCACAGAAUUGAGGGAGAAAGCUAACAGCCUCUAUUUCUGGUGACACUGUGUCCCCAGAACCCUACCCUGCCUUCUGAGAAGCUUGACUGGUGAGGAGCAGGGCUGACUUCUGCUUAGGCCCAGGAACAUCC
rnacentral:lncRNA from 1 species